rnacentral:rRNA from 1 species
UACGUAGGGUGCAAGCGUUGUCCGGAAUUAUUGGGCGUAAAGAGCUCGUAGGCGGCUUGUCGCGUCGACUGUGAAAACCCGAGGCUUAACCUCGGGCCUGCAGUCGAUACGGGCAGACUAGAGUUCGGUAGGGGAGACUGGAAUUCCUGGUGUAGCGGUGAAAUGCGCAGAUAUCAGGAGGAACACCGGUGGCGAAGGCGGGUCUCUGGGCCGAUACUGACGCUGAGGAGCGAAAGCGUGGGGAGCGAACAGGA